AGAUUGUAUACUUUAUAAAAAAGAUUUAGUUUGCAUCUAAGACUAGGGUACACACCCUACAAUCUG
rnacentral:tRNA from 1 species